AUGGAAGGGCAGAGCUUUUUUUUGGUUUUUUCAUCUUUUCAUCAAAGAGUUGAACAAUGAAGAUAGAUGGCAAGGGAUUGGGAUUCCAUUGCUGUCAUUUUAUAUGUAUAUGGUUACAAUUAUUUACGCUCCCAAUGUGCUUAUGAUGUAGCACCCGGUGGAUCUUUAGCUAGCGUGUAUCAUCUUACGAGAAUACAAUAUGGUAUAGAUAAUCCAGAAGUAAGUCGUUUUCGUUGGUGGGAAAGACACACCUCUCAAAAUGUUUUUAUCUCUAAGUUUUUCGCUUUGAGCUCUGGCACCUCUACAAAUCCCUACUUCCCUCUGCGAAGGGCCUUUCUUUUACUUUAUGCAAUUUUUAUUUUGAAUUUGAGUCUCCAUCUUCUCUUAUAA
rnacentral:rRNA from 1 species